GGAGGGUGGGCAGAACGGUUAUGCAGAAGAUUGCUAAUCUUCGAUCGCGUAAGCGGUCAGUGGGUUCGACUCCCACACCCUCCG
rnacentral:tRNA from 1 species